UACGUAGGGGGCAAGCGUUGUCCGGAUUUAUUGGGCGUAAAGCGCGUGUAGGCGGCCAAACAGGUCAGCUGUGAAAACUCGAGGCUCAACCUCGAGACGUCGGUUGAAACCGUUUGGCUAGAGUCCGGAAGAGGAGAGUGGAAUUCCCGGUGUAGCGGUGAAAUGCGCAGAUAUCGGGAAGAACACCCGUGGCGAAGGCGGCUCUCUGGGACGGUACUGACGCUGAGACGCGAAAGCGUGGGGAGCGAACAGG
rnacentral:rRNA from 1 species